rnacentral:rRNA from 1 species
CGAUAGCGUAUAUUUAAGUUGCUGCAGUUAAAAGCUCGUAGUUGGAUUUCGGGUGGGAAUGGCCGGUCCGCCGUUUCGGUGUGCACUUGCUACGCCCACCUUGCUGCCGGGGACGUGCUCUUGAGUUCACGCUCGGGACACGGAGUCGGCGAGGUUACUUUGAGUAAAUUAGAGUGUUCAAAGCAGGCCUACGCUCUGAAUACAUUAGCAUGGAAUAACACGAUAGGACUCUGGCCUAUCUUGUUGGUCUGUAGGACCGGAGUAAUGAUUAAGAGGGACAGUCGGGGGCAUUCGUAUUUCAUUGUCAGAGGUGAAAUUCUUGGAUUUAUGAAAGACGAACUACUGCGAAAGCAUUUGCCAAGGAUGUUUUCAUUAA